AAAUUUAAUACUUUUAUCUUUCAUAAUUUUAAGCAUUUAUAUAUUAAAAUAUAUUUUAAUUUAUUACAUAUAUUAAAAUAAAAAUCUUAUAUUUCAGUUUAUUGUUAAAAUAUUUAUCAGGUUAUUUUCAAAUCAGUUACAGUCCAAAUUAAAUUGAAAAGGGAAUGGGGAAAAGAUAAGCUUAGAAAAUCUAGUAAAUAUAUGGAGUGUUUUACGAGAUAUCGGCGACGUGGAAGAAAAUGUUGACGGCAAUGCAGAAAUAUAGUUUCUUAUGUAUAUUUUUGUGACAUAAAAAUUAAGUAAUGUUAGUUAAAA